UGGUGGAUUAGCUCAAGAUAACUACUUAGCUUGCGUGAUUUAUUUGCUUGAGUGACUAGAGAGGCUUGAUUUUGCAUGAUUGUGGUUUGCAAGAGUUGCAUUGAUUUUGCAUGAUUGUGGUUUGCAAGAGUUGCAUUGACUUGUGUGUCUAAUAUUAGUUAUGUACGUUUGAUUUUAGCUUGCACGUUUGGCUUUUACUUGUAUAUUUGGAAUUGGCGUGUAUGCUUGAUGUUGGCAUGUAUUCU
rnacentral:lncRNA from 1 species